rnacentral:rRNA from 1 species
CUGACCUGCAUUCGAUACGGUCUAGCUAGAGUGUGGUAGGGGAGACUGGAAUUCCUGGUGUAGCGGUGGAAUGCGCAGAUAUCAGGAGGAACACCGAUGGCGAAGGCAGGUCUCUGGGCCAUUACUGACACUGAGGAGCGAAAGCGUGGGGAGCGAACAGGAUUAGAUACCCUGGUAGUCCACGCCGUAAACGGUGGGCGCUAGUUGUGCGAACCUUCCACGGUUUGUGCGACGCAGCUAACGCAUUAAGCGCCCCGCCUGGGGAGUACGAUCGCAAGAUUAAAACUCAAAGGAAUUGACGGGGCCCCGCACAAGCAGCGGGGCAUGCGGCUUAAUUCGACGCAACGCGAAGAACCUUACCAAGGCUUGACAUAUACAGGAAUACGGCAGAGAUGUCGUAGCCGCAAGGUCUGUAUACAGGUGGUGCAUGGUUGUCGUCAGCUCGUGUCGUGAGAUGUUGGGUUAAGUCCCGCAACGAGCGCAACCCUCGUUCUGUGUUGCCAGCAUUUAGUUGGGGACUCACAGGAGACUGCCGGGGUUAACUCGGAGGAAGGUGGGGAUGACGUCAGAUCAUCAUGCCCCUUAUGUCUUGGGCUGCACGCAUGCUACAAUGGCUGGUACAAACGGCUGCAAUACCGCAAGGUGGAGCGAAUCCGAGAAAGCCAGUCUCAGCUCGGAUUGGGGUCUGCAACUCGACCCCAUGAAGUCGGAGUUGCUAGUAAUCGUAGAUCAGCAACGCUACGGUGAAUACGUUCCCGGGGCUUGUACACACCGCCCGUCACGUCACGAAAGUCGGUAACACCCAAAGUCAGUGGCCCAACCGUAAGGA